GAUGAACGCUGGCGGCGUGCCUAAUACAUGCAAGUCGAGCGAACAGACGAGGAGCUUGCUCCUCUGACGUUAGCGGCGGACGGGUGAGUAACACGUGGAUAACCUACCUAUAAGACUGGGAUAACUUCGGGAAACCGGAGCUAAUACCGGAUAAUAUAUUGAACCGCAUGGUUCAAUAGUGAAAGAUGGUUUUGCUGUCACUUAUAGAUGGAUCCGCGCCGCAUUAGCUAGUUGGUAAGGUAACGGCUUACCAAGGCAACGAUGCGUAGCCGACCUGAGAGGGUGAUCGGCCACACUGGAACUGAGACACGGUCCAGACUCCUACGGGAGGCAGCAGUAGGGAAUCUUCCGCAAUGGGCGAAAGCCUGACGGAGCAACGCCGCGUGAGUGAUGAAGGUCUUCGGAUCGUAAAACUCUGUUAUUAGGGAAGAACAAAUGUGUAAGUAACUAUGCACGUCUUGACGGUACCUAAUCAGAAAGCCACGGCUAACUACGUGUCAGCCGCCGCCGUAA
rnacentral:rRNA from 1 species